AUUGAACGCUGGCGGCAUGCCUUACACAUGCAAGUCGAACGGCAGCACGGGAGCAAUCCUGGUGGCGAGUGGCGAACGGGUGAGUAAUAUAUCGGAACGUGCCCGGUCGUGGGGGAUAACGUAGCGAAAGCUACGCUAAUACCGCAUACGAUCUACGGAUGAAAGCGGGGGAUCGCAAGACCUCGCGCGAUUGGAGCGGCCGAUAUCAGAUUAGGUAGUUGGUGAGGUAAAGGCUCACCAAGCCGACGAUCUGUAGCUGGUCUGAGAGGACGACCAGCCACACUGGGACUGAGACACGGCCCAGACUCCUACGGGAGGCAGCAGUGGGGAAUUUUGGACAAUGGGCGCAAGCCUGAUCCAGCAAUGCCGCGUGCAGGAUGAAGGCCUCGGUUGGUAACGUAGCGUUUGUUACGGUAACGAAACCGGUAGGAG
rnacentral:rRNA from 1 species